rnacentral:lncRNA from 1 species
AAACAUCGAUCUUUUGCUAUACUUUUCAUACUGUUGUUUUAACUAUGUUAUGAAGUUAUUAUCAUGCAAAACACCUCACGACAAAACUUUACCCUCUUGGGGUACAAUAUGUUUUAUAAAUAGAAAAAUGUUUUAUUUAUUCAUUACAUACAAAUACAUCAUAUCAAGGGUAACCAUUAUUGCUAAACCGUUUUAUACAUUCAAAGAACUUAUGAUUUAUGCUUUGUCAAACAUUGUGAAAAAGGAUAAACUUUGCAUACAAAACUAUUACUUUAAUACAGACUUAGUUGAGAAUCCGUGAGACGUGUACAUCUUCAAAUACUACCUUUUGCUAAAAGGUAUCGCUACAAGUCCUGUCUAUAACCAGAGUCUCCCGUUCGGAGAACGUGUCAAAUGUGUAUAGAUCUAUACGGGAAGUCAUGAUCCCGCACCCUGACUGUUAGCUACAGUCCGUCUUUUGGGGUGACAGUUGUCAUAACGCUACGACGCCUGAAGAACGUCGCUACAGGCAUAUUAUGUUUAGUAUGGUUAUAAAACUCAUCGGAUAUACAAUUAUUAUGGUAUUAUGCUUUUAUGAACGAGUAGCUAUUAAAACUAUUCUUCAUCUAACAAGUGCGAUCUUCGUAUAGCUUUAUUAUAUAAAACUAUGCCACAACUUUUAAGCACGUCGGUUGCUUGCGAUUUUCGGUCUUGGAGACUGCCAGUUAUGUUAGGAAAAUAAGGGUUUUUCCUGGAUACAAACCAAACAACUAAUAGGAAAAUAAGGGAUUUUCCUGGUGCAAUUACUUACAACUUAUAACACGAACAUUCAUAUGCAUUUCAUACUUUUAUAAGAAAAUAAGGGUUUUUCUUGGAAAACACAACAAUUCAUAUCUCAACCAUUAGGGAAAAUAUGGGAUUUUCUGGAUCUAAUACAUUCAUUUUCAACACAACAAAUCAUAACUCUUUACAUUUGAAACACUGCGUUUUCUGGAAAACAUACACGAACUUUCGAAUGGCGUACAUUUUCUCAAAACACUACUCAUGAACUCACCAACUUAAUUGUUGACACUUUUUCUUUGAAAUAACUUGUAUUCUCAGGGAACCGCUAAGCAGAUUUGGAAAUCAACUUUUGGGGAUUAACGUGCUGACGUUAAUUACUUCUUUUGAAAGAUGUUUAUGUAUUUAUCUUUUGAACAUGUAACGAAUACAAUUAUGUAAACAUUUUGGAAACUUUAAUAUAUAUGGUGGUGUGUACUUUCCUUUCUAUGAACUGUUAUGAUACUGAAUAUGACGUCCUCCGCCCCCGAACGUUUCCGCCGUUCUGGUUUGGGGGUGUGACAGAUUGGUAUCAGAGCAUUGUUUAUAGUGAAUUAAGUAUAUCAAAACCAUUUUGGUAUACAACUAUAAACACAACUGGGCAAAAACACUCUGAGUAAGAGUCAUACUUUUAAAAUUAAAUUUAUUUAGUUUUUGUAAAGUAGGCAUGCAUUCAUUUCAUAUUAAUAACAGGGUCAGUAUCAUAAUUAAAACAAUAUAGAAGUAUUAUAAAUAAGUUGUGCAGUGCAGGUAUGCCUUGGGACAUGUAAUCGGAACUGGGAAGAAUAUAGCCUGAUCAACUAUAUUUGUCCAAGAGCCGACUAACGUAUGCCAAGGAGUGUCUGCAAUGGACAACAAAUUUAAAACUUACCAAAAGCAUAUCGUUAAAGAAUACUAAGGGAGUAUUCAAGUACCUACAACCAUUAAACUUAAGGGUAAAUUCCAUGUGCUUUAGCUUAUAGUCAAUUCUUAACCCUAUUCCUGUAUAGACUCAAUGGCUGGAUUCCAUCACCCCGGUGACCCCUACUACCCCAACCAAGGUAAUGGAGAAGGGAUAGAGAAUGAUCCAGAAGAAGGAAUGCAAGAAGAAUCAGACUCAGAUCCCGAGGACAAUAACCUACCCGUAACGGCCCCAAUUCAAAAUCCUAAUCCUCGACCGGAAUUUCAUGGCUCGACGCCCCUUUGGGCAACUUACCUGGAUAGCUGGAGCCGCNCAACCCCUUCCAUUCAACAGAGACCGAAGCUUCUACAAUCUAAGCGAGGGAGGCUCAGCAGACAGAGCCCUUCCUAUAUUGGUUCGUCAGAUUUCUCGCAUUGGUGAACAAGGACAGACGACCAUCCAUCGAACUGAGGAGAAUGAUGCGAACACUGGAGUCAACACAGUUCGCAUCCGACAGUUAGGAUUAGCUCAUAGGAGAAUCAUAAAUCGAAAUGAAGCGUUGCAGAGAGAGCUAACGGCAACUCAAACCGAAGUGAUAGAACUUCGGGCACGCCAGGCAAGACAUGAACUACGUAUACUCGAGAUAGAGCGUCAGUUGGCAGAAUCUAAGGCCCAUGUAGCCAGCUCGCGUAACAAAUAAUACUUGUCUGACUUCCAAAAUUUUGUCAUAGCAUAAGACGUCGGAUAAAGUCCUUACUUUCUUAACCUUGUAAUUGGAGACCUUUAGAUAGGUCAAAUUUUCCUAACUACAAAACGUAACGCACCAUGUUUUAUAAUAUAUAUGAUGUAUUUCCUUUAUUAAACCCUUUGCAUACCCCUCCAAUUCAUGAGUUUAUCUACUCUCCUUAUGAGUCGAACUCAAAACCCUAUUCAAGGGUAAACCAAACUUCUGAUAUAACAAAUCACUAAUGCGCGACUUUCAAAUCAUUAAAACUUAUAGUUUUUCUUGUUAUUUCCUUACCAGAACAAUGCCUCCUCAUAGGUCAGCACGUAGAAAAGCAACCCCGCCACCACCUCCCCAAUAUGACCCCAACAUAGUGUAAUCUGCUAUCACUGCUGCAGUAACAGCUGCACUAUCUCAAGCAAACUUUAGCGGCGCAGCAAGGGCCGGAAAUAAUCAACUUACCAACGCAACCCCAUUCCUACGAUUGGACACCGCCACUUUGCAAGCUACAGUUAUAGCCACAGUGCCAGCCAUUAUAGCAUACAAUAACUCUGUCAACUCAAGCAGGGAAGGAAACGAUAUCAAAAAUCCUAAUCAAAGAAACAAUCGAAGCCACCUACCAGUAGCUACCUAUAAGAAUACCGCAAGGUGCGAACACAAGAACAUGAAACGAAAACCAUGGAGAGAGAGGGGAGGCAAAUCAACUCAAAGAAACACCAAAAAGCAAUCAACAAACCAUACCCCUACACCCAAAAGGUCGUACAACGGCAACCAACCUAAGUGCAACCGAUGCAACUUUCAUCAUCACGGACCCUGCCGUGAAAUGCAUUGCGUUAGGUGCAAUAGAAAGGGACACACCGUCCGCUACUGCAUAGAACUAGCCCAACCAACUGCUCCAGCCACAAAUGUAGGAGUAGACCGUGCUUGUUAUGAGUGCGGAGUAACGGGACACUUCCGAAGGGACUGCCUUGAGUCAAACAUCAUGAAUGCUGGUGGAGGAGGCCGAGUAUUCGCAAUGGGCCAAGAGGAGGCUAUUGCAGACCCCACGGUUAUUCUGGGUACAUUUCUCCUUGAUAACUUAUUUACAUACAUUCCAUUUGAUAGUAGGGACGCAGAGGAGUUCCGUGAGUCACAAGUUUAAAAAUCUACUCGAACAAACACCCCAAUCAUUAAACAAAACUUUCAUAGUAGUAAUAAUAGAGAUAGACUAAAAAGCACUGAAAACACAUACGUAGAAUGCACUAUCCCACUAACGAACGUCUUACAAUGAGAAGUACCGACAUCGGCAUUCGACGUGGAUUGGUGUGGCCCUACCCAUACCAGUUCCAUGUGUUAUAAAAGACCCUUUAACUUUAACCAUCGACUAACGAAACUCGAUCGAUUUAUAACGACAAACCCGACACAAACCCCAAUUGGUUUCUAGUUUCAAAACCCCGAGGUACUCAUGUGAGGAGUCUUUACAACCUUCUCGUAGUAUCCCCCAACAGAUCAUUUAGAAAUACAACGCAUACAACAAGUCAAAUCCAAGCUCAAAAACUAGGAGUGAAUUCAACCAUGAACUUCAAAACUUAGCUGCCCUAAUGCAUCGUGUGAAUAUGCUAACAUUUAGAAGAACAUAAGUAAAUAAACCCAAAACCACACGAUCCCGAUCGGUCGAAGUGAUAGGCGGAGUAAUGAAGGUCCGCUGAAACACGCACAUUAGGAUCUAGAUUUAUAAAGAAACAAGAGGAACAAAUGGACCAGAAGCACUCACGCCUGCCUACAAGAAUUGGAGUCCUAGUCAAAAUGCGAAUUUCGGGACGAAAUUCUCUCUAACGGGGGGAUAAUGUAACAACAGCAAAAUUCAGGUCAAAAUUUAAACUUUCAUAAAACUAUAAUUGAGUAUACUAAGUGGUAGAUAUCGUAACAAGGUUUUCAUACAUAUAAAGAACACAAAAAUCCGAGUUAUAACGAAGAAGUUAUGACCAUUCUAAGAUUUCCGACAAAACCGGCAACACCGAUUAAACGAAAAACGCGAAGUUCCAAUACAAUACUUUUUAGCCUUAAGUAUCUAAAUCAAAGUCGUAUAUAUCAUUAAACCAUGAGCAUACAUAAAAAGAACGUCCAAAUCUGACUUCGUGUGAGGAAGUUAUGAUUUUUCUAAGUUACGGAUAUAGCAGUAGACAGCUAAAAACUCGAAAUAAAGAUCGAGAGACUUUUAGCCGACACAAACUAAAUGAGAAUCGAAGGUCUCAACAAUAGAAGCGCAACGGUAAAAAGUCUGACGGAAACGGACGUCGGAUGAAGAAGUUAUGGAGUUUUAACGAAGUUAUCGUGUCCCGGCCUAUUAAUUAAAAUAUAAUUAAAAAUAAAUUUAAAAUUAGCCGACGAAGUCUAAAUGAAAGUUGUAGAGUAUUUUCUCACCUUCGCGUGGAUAUAAAGAACGUCGAAAACGGAGUUCGUAUGAAGAAGAUAUGAAUUUUUGAAGUUUACUAAAUAAUUAAAAUAUAAAUUAAAUAAAAAAAUCCGGUAUUAUUCGAAGGAGGAGUCAUCGGACCAAUCCGGGUUACGCCCAGCGUACCCUCGUACGCCCAGCGUACUCGGAUGCUAGGCUCCGGAUUGUCCACGUCGCUUCAAUGCUUCGUCCGAGGAUGCGGUAAGCCAUGACGUUGCGUACGCCCAGCGUACCCUCACUAAUACGCCCCACGUACGCGAGGCUUUUAGACCCUAUAAAAGGGAUGCAAGGGUGCCAGCCAUUUUUGCUAAUUUCCUUCCUUUCUCGCACAGAAGCUCUGCGUUUCAACCCUCGGAACCAUCCCGAAGCCCUGGUUCCCAUACUCAAGCCCCGAAGGAAGUUUCACACUCCCGAGAUUCCCGAGAAUCCCGAGAAAAUCCGCUUUCUCGAGUAGAAGUUCUGCUCGGUUUUCGUCUCGCUUUCUUCAAUCUAUCAAGUGAGUUCAUACCCCUACAACCACACUUUAAAUGCUUUUUAAACGCUUUUAAGGGGGGGAAUACAAGUAAACACACGACUAAAAUCGUGUGAAACAUCGAUCUUUUGCUAUACUUUUCAUACUGUUGUUUUAACUAUCUUAUGAAGUUAUUAUCAUGCAAAACACCUCACGACACAGCUUUACCCUCUUGGGGUACAAUAUGUUUUAUAAAUAGAAAUAUGUUUUAUUUAUACGUUUACAUACAAAUACAUCAUAUCAAGGGUAACCAUCUUUGCUAAACCAUUUUAUACUUUCAAAGAACUUAUGACUUAUGCUUUGUCAAACAUUGUGAAAAAGAAUAAACUUUGCAUACAAAACUAUCACUUUAAUACAGACUUAGUUGAGAAUCCGUGAGACGUGUACAUCUUCAAAUACUACCUUUUGCUAAAAGGUAUCGCUACAAGUCCUGUCUAUAACCAGAGUCUCCCGUUCGGAGAACGUGUCAAAUGUGUAUAGAUCUAUACGGGAAGUCAUGAUCCCACGCCCUGACUGUUAGCUACAGUCCGUCUUUUGGGGUGACAGUUGUCAUAACGCUACGACGCCUGAAGAACGUCGCUACAAGCAUAUUAUGUUUAGUAUGGUUAUAAAACUCAUCGGAUAUACAAUUAUUAUGGUAUUAUGCUUUUAUGAACGAGUAGCUAUUAAAACUAUUCUUCAUCUAACAAGUGCGAUCUUCGUAUAGCUUUAUUAUAUAAAACUAUGCCACACCUUUUAAGCACGUCGAUUGCUUGCGAUUUUCGGUCUUAGAGACUGCCAGUUAUGUUAGGAAAAUAAGGGUUUUUCCUGCAUCUAAAACAAACAACUAAUAGGAAAAUAAGGGAUUUUCCUGCAACAAUUAUUUACAACUUAUAACACGAACAUUCAUAUGCAUUUCAUACUUUUAUAAGAAAAUAAGGGUUUUUCUUGGAAAACACAACAAAUCAUAUCUCAACUAUUAGGGAAAAUAUGAGAUUUUCUGGAUCUAAUACAGUCAUUUUCAACACAACGAAUCACAGCUCUUUUCAUUUGAAAAUACCGGGUUUUCUGGAAAACAUACACGAACUUUCGAACGGCGUACAUUUUCUCAAAACACCACUUAUGAACUCACCAACUUAAUUGUUGACACUUUCUCUUUGAAAUAACUUGUAUUCUCAGGGAACCGCUAAGCAGGUUU